rnacentral:pre_miRNA from 1 species
AUAACAUGAGGACAGUCGGACUCCCGAGCAAUAUCACCAGCUCGGUGGAAGAUCUUCCCUUUGUCGU